CUGUAAUUGGAAUGAGUACACUUUAAAUCCUUUAACAAGGACCUAUUGGAGGGCAAGUCUGGUGCCAGCAGCCGCGGUAACUCCAGCUCCAAUAGCGUAUAUUAAAGUUGUUGCGGUUAAAACGUUCGUAGUUGAACUUGUGCUUCAUACGGGUAGUACAACUAUAAUUGUAGUUUGUACUGUACCUUAUGUAUGUAAGCGUAUUACCGGUGGAGUUCUUAUGUGUGUUAAAUACUUGUAUUUUUCACAUAUUCCUCCUAUUUAAACCUGCUUCAGUGCUCUUCAUCGAGUGUUGUUGUGGGCCGGUACAAUUACUUUGAACAAAUUAGAGUGCUUAAAGCAGGCUCCAAAUGCCUGAAUAUUUUGUGCAUGGAAUAAUGAAAUAAGACCCCUGUUCUACUUUCAUUGGUUUUUAGAUCAAGAGGUAAUGAUUAAUAGAAGCAGUUUGGGGGCAUUAGUAUUACGACGCGAGAGGUGAAAUUCUUGGACCGUCGUAAGACUAACUUAAGCGAAAGCAUUUGCCAAAGAUGUUUUCAUUAAUCAAGAACGAAAGUUAGAGGUUCGAAGGCGAUCAGAUACCGCCCUAGUUCUAACCAUAAACGAUGCCAGCUAGCAAUUGGGUGUAGCUACUAUCAUGGCUCUCUCAGUCGCUUCCCGGGAAACCAAAGCUUUUGGGCUCCGGGGGAAGUAUGGUUGCAAAGCUGAAACUUAAAGGAAUUGACGGAAGGGCACCACCAGGAGUGGAGCCUGCGGCUUAAUUUGACUCAACC
rnacentral:rRNA from 1 species